GCUCCAGCCUUCCCUGGGGGAUCUACGUUCCUAGGAACUUUCUCAAAGUCCGGCAGAUGUUGCCCAGGGAAGCAAGGCCGUGGGACACACCUAGAGUCACCCUCGUUGCUUCCCUUUAGUGCUUCUGGGACAGGCUCAUGAGCUCUGCCCCAAGUCAAGAUGACCUCUCCAACCUGCCAAGUGUGCCCUCUCGGAUGCUGCAGGGUAGAUUCUGUCACUAAAUUUCAGGAAGAAUCAAAUACAGGUAUCUAGAGGAUGUGGCAGCGAGUCCAAAAUUUGUUUUUUAUGUCCCCCAGAAUGCACAGGGUGGUUUAUUUAAAUUGAUUCCGAGAAGCAGCUCUGGAUAUCUUCUACGUCCCCAAGCAGGCCAACUACUUCAUCUGGUGCUCAACCAAAGAAACAGGAAUCUGUUCCAACGCUGGAAGAAAAACCGGCUGUGCUGAAACAACUCGUGGUCUCCAGGGGAGCGCCUGUCGAAGGACCUUUCCAGGGUAAUUUUGAUUUUUCAUGAUUUUCUUGUUUCUGAUUUUAGAACCUAAGAGGUGUGAAUCUCUUUUAAGAUAAGUAUCGUCAGAGAUACAUACACGGUCUGGAAGGGUCUGG
rnacentral:lncRNA from 1 species